rnacentral:rRNA from 1 species
AGAGUUUGAUCCUGGCUCAGAACGAACGCUGGCGGCACGCCUAAUACAUGCAAGUCGAACGUGAAAGUCUUUCGGGAUGAGUAAAGUGGCGCACGGGUGAGUAACACGUAGGUGACCUAUCUUCUAACGGGGGAUAACGAUAAGAAAUUAUCGCUAAUACCGCAUGAGUUUAAUUAAUUAAAAAAGAUUAAAGAAAGACGGCCUCUUUACAAUGCUGUCAUUAGAAGAAGGGCCUGCGGCCGAUUAGCUAGUUGGUGGGGUAAAGGCCUACCAAGGCGACGAUCGGUAACCGGUCUGAGAGGAUGAUCGGUCACACUGGAACUGAGACACGGUCCAGACUCCUACGGGAGGCAGCAGUAGGGAAUCUUGCGCAAUGGGAGAAAUCCUGACGCAGCGAUGCCGCGUGAGUGAGGAAGGCCUUCGGGUUGUAAAGCUCUGUUCUUAGGGAAAAAGGUAGUUCUAAAUAAUAAGUAGAGCUAUUUGAUGGUACUUAAGGAGAAAGCACCGGCAAACUUCGUGCCAGCAGCCGCGGUAAUACGAAGGGUGCAAGCGUUGUUCGGAUUUAUUGGGCGUAAAGCGCGCGCAGGCGGAUAGUUAAGUCAUGUGUGAAAUCUCGGGGCAUAACCCCGAAACAGCGCCUGAAACUGGUUAUCUAGAAUAUCGGAGAGGAAAGGGGAAUUUCGCAUGUAGGGGUAAAAUCCGUAGAGAUGCGAAGGAACACCAGAGGCGAAGGCGCCUUUCUGGACGAUUAUUGACGCUGAGGCGCGAAAGCGUGGGGAGCAAACAGGAUUAGAUACCCUGGUAGUCCACGCCGUAAACGAUGGAUACUAGUUUUGGCGAGCAUUAACCCUUGCCGAGACGAAGCAAACGCGUUAAGUAUCCCGCCUGGGAAGUUCGGUCGCAAGACUAAAACUCAAAGGAAUUGACGGGGGCCCGCACAAGCGGUGGAUCAUGUGGUUUAAUUCGAAGCAACGCGAAAAACCUUACCUGGGUUUGAAAUCCCACGAAGAUCGCAGAAAUGUGAUUGUGUCCUUCGGGAAACGUGGUGACAGGUGCUGCAUGGCUGCCGUCAGCUCGUGUUGUGAAAUGUUGGGUUAAGUCUCGCAACGAGCGCAACCCCUAUCCUUUGUUGCCAGCAUUAAGUUGGGCACUCUGAGGAGACUGCCGGUGUUAAGCCGGAGGAAGGUGGGGAUGACGUCAAGUCCUCAUGGCCCUUAUGUCCAGGGCUACACACGUGAUACAAUGGUAGAUACAAAGGGAAGCAAGCAUGUGAGUGCAAGCCAAUCUCAAAAAGUCUAUCUCAGUCCGGAUUGAGGUCUGCAACUCGACUUCAUGAAGUUGGAAUCGCUAGUAAUCGCGGAUCAGCACGCCGCGGUGAAUACGUUCCCGGGCCUUGUACACACCGCCCGUCCCACCAUGGGAGUUGAUUUCACC